CUGCGAUACUUUCUCUCCUGCCAGAGGAGCAGGAAUCAUGGCUUUAUGCGCGACAAGCUCGUAUUAUGACACUACUGAAAUUGCAACUAGGAUUCUUCCAAAUGUUGUUGUUUUAACCAUUGAUCCUGAUAGUGAUGUUCGAUCAAAGGCAUUUCAAGCAGUUGACCAGUUUUACUGUU